GGCUUCCCAAAGUGCUGGGAUGAUAGGCGUGAGCCACUGCUCCCAGCCUAGUGCUUACUUAAUAAAUGUUAACAAAAAACAACCCACCCCGAAAAGGGAAAGAGGACAAAAACAAGGCAAGGGUGUUUCAGCAGAGGCAAACAUCACAAGCAAAAGCUUGCAGGUGGGAGAAGCCAAGGCCAAUGGCUGAAGUCCUUGCCAGCUGGCAGGGACUCUGCCCUGUAAGUGGGGGAUGAGUCCAGAGGUAGGCAGGGACCAGGCCACAGUGAACUUGUGGGUGUUAUUAAUCCUGAGUGUGUGACGGGGCAGGAGAGAGUGUAGUAUCCCAGGCAGAUCUGAGGCCCCAGCUCUCUCUCUCUCUCUCAGCCUCAGCCUGCCACUCUGCAGUGGUUACCCUCUGACGUGAUCGGGGUUUGUAAAUCUGUAUAUUCCUCUGUGAAUUUCUUUGCUGCCCUCUCACCCCCGGGUCUGGGUGCUCUGUGAGCAGUACCUUGUCUUCUGUUCUCCACAGUGACCCCAGCAUCUAGCCCAGGGUCUGGCAGAGAUAAUUUCUUCCCAAUGAAGAGAACGCAGUGCCUUCGUGAGCACCAAAAGGCCAACGGCAGUUCCCUCUCCAGCUGUGUGAUGAAGAUCCCUUUGAUUUUUCCCUUUACACUUUCUUCUAGUUCCUUCUAUAAAUAUUUGUGGUUUUUCAAAUAAAAAGCCACAAAGGAGGUGAGUGGGCUGUAAAAGAAACAAAACAGGUCUUUUUUUUUUUU